CCAAAACUUGGUCUCCCCAUGUCACUCUCUCUCCCAAAUUCCAGCUGAGUCUCCAUCUGGAGCGCGGAACCCACCAUGCUUGCUAAUUAUGCCUGGGCUUAUAAUAUCCGACCGGGGUAGGCCUCAGUGUCUCCCCUCCUUCGGGAGAACGGAAGGACGCCUGCGGCCUACGAGACCCCAGUUCGAUUCCUGGGUCAGGAAGACGUGCACAUAGGGAGAAUGCCAUGUGAAGAUGAAGACAGAGAUCGGGGUGAUGCUUUACAAGCCAAGGAACGCCAAAGAUUAUCAACCAACCACCAGAACCAAGAAGAGAGGCCUGGAAUGUAUUCUCCCUGACAGGCUCAGAAGGAACCAUCCCUGCUGACAUCCUGAUCUCAGACUUUCAGCCUCCAGAACCAUAAGACAAUAAAUUUCUGCGGCUGAAGCCACUCAGAU